rnacentral:rRNA from 1 species
UACGUAGGGGGCAAGCGUUGUCCGGAUUUAUUGGGCGUAAAGAGCGUGUAGGCGGUUAGGUAGGUCCGAUGUGAAAGCCCCGAGCUCAACUUGGGAAUGGCAUUGGAAACUGGCGGGCUGGAGUGUGGCAGAGGGGGGUGGAAUUCCACGUGUAGCAGUGAAAUGCGUAGAGAUGUGGAGGAACACCGAUGGCGAAGGCAGCCCCUGGGUCAAGAUUGACGCUCAUGCACGAAGCGUGGGAGCGAAAUGGG